rnacentral:rRNA from 1 species
GAACGCUGGCGGCGUGCCUAAUACAUGCAAGUAGAACGCUGAGGUUUGGUGUUUACACUAGACUGAUGAGUUGCGAACGGGUGAGUAACGCGUAGGUAACCUGCCUCAUAGCGGGGGAUAACUAUUGGAAACGAUAGCUAAUACCGCAUAAGAGUAAUUAACACAUGUUAGUUAUUUAAAAAGGAGCAAUUGCUUCACUGUGAGAUGGACCUGCGUUGUAUUAGCUAGUUGGUGAGGUAAAGGCUCACCAAGGCGACGAUACAUAGCCGACCUGAGAGGGUGAUCGGCCACACUGGGACUGAGACACGGCCCAGACUCCUACGGGAGGCAGCAGUAGGGAAUCUUCGGCAAUGGACGGAAGUCUGACCGAGCAAACGCCGCGUGAGUGAAGAAGGUUUUCGGAUCGUAAAGCUCUGUUGUUAGAGAAGAACGUUGGUAGGAGUGGAAAAUCUACCAAGUGACGGUAACUAACCAGAAAAGGGGACGGGCUAACUACGUGCCAGCAGCCGCGGUAAAU